UUCCAGACUCCUACGGGAGGCAGCAGUGGGGAAUAUUGCACAAUGGGGGAAACCCUGAUGCAGCAACGCCGCGUGAGUGAAGAAGUCAUUCGUGAUGUAAAGCUCUAUCAGCAGGGAAGAAAAUGACGGUACCUGAGUAAGAAGCCCCGGCUAACUACGUGCCAGCAGCCGCGGUAAUACGUAGGGGGCAAGCGUUAUCCGGAUUUACUGGGUGUAAAGGGAGCGUAGACGGCAGUGCAAGUCUGGAGUGAAAGGCGGGGGCUCAACCCCCGGACUGCUCUGGAAACUGUACGGCUGGAGUGCAGGAGAGGUAAGUGGAAUUCCUAGUGUAGCGGUGAAAUGCGUAGAUAUUAGAAGGAACACCAGUGGCGAAGGCGGCUUACUGGACUGUAACUGACGUUGAGGCUCGAAAGCGUGGGGAGCAAACAGGAUUAGAUACCCUAGUAGAU
rnacentral:rRNA from 1 species